GAAGAACUAUACGUCAAGCUGAAAGGGCAAGUGGGAGGAGUUUUUGCAACAACGCCUGUGGGGGAGGUUUAUUCCAAGUUCCCGAUCGCAGCCAUUGGUCAUAAACGCAAGAUGGUUCAGAGAGAACGUGGGGGAUUCCUGAGGCUGCAGUCCUCACUCUUAUGGGAGCCGCAGCAGGCGAGCCUGCGCCAGCCCCUCCCUCGCUGCCCUCCUGCCUCUCCCCCUGCCCCUCCCCUUUGCCCCAGGUGAGCCGUGGCCUAAGCGGAGGAGAUCCACCGCGGGGGACGCCCACCCCAACACCCUCCCUCGCAGACCCCGAGGAGGCAGAGCCCAAAAAGGGGCUGAGAGGCGACUCUCGCUCCCGCCUUGGCACUCGCCUCUGCC